AGGGGUACUCGAGUGGCGAACGGGUGAGUAACACGUGGGUGAUCUGCCCUGCACUUCGGGAUAAGCCUGGGAAACUGGGUCUAAUACCGGAUAGGACCACAUUUUGGAUGGUGUGGUGGAAAGUUUUUCGGUGUGGGAUGAGCUCGCGGCCUAUCAGCUUGUUGGUGGGGUAAUGGCCUACCAAGGCGUCGACGGGUAGCCGGCCUGAGAGGGUGUACGGCCACAUUGGGACUGAGAUACGGCCCAG
rnacentral:rRNA from 1 species